rnacentral:misc_RNA from 1 species
GAUGAAGAACGCAGCGAAAUGCGAUAAGUAGUGUGAAUUGCAGAAUUCAGUGAAUCAUCGAAUCUUUGAACGCACAUUGCGCCCCUUGGUAUUCCAUGGGGCAUGCCUGUUCGAGCGUCAUCUACACCCUCAAGCUCUGCUUGGUGUUGGGCGUCUGUCCCGCCCCCGCGCGUGGACUCGCCCCAAAUCCAUUGGCAGCGUUCCUUGCCCCCUCUCGCGCAGCACAUUGCGCUUCUCGAGGGCGGCUCCGGGACGCGAUCCAGCAAGAUGACCACCGUCUUUGACCUCGGAUCAGGUAGGGAUACCCGCUGAACUUAAGCAUAUCAAUAAGCGGGGA